rnacentral:tRNA from 1 species
GGUCGCAUGGCCCAAUGGUUAAGGCACCCGCCUACGGAGCGGGGGAUUCCAGGUUCGAAUCCUGGUGUGAUCG